CCUACGGGAGGCAGCAGUAGGGAAUAUUGCUCAAUGGGGGAAACCCUGAAGCAGCAACGCCGCGUGGAGGAUGAAGGUUUUCGGAUUGUAAACUCCUUUUGUUAGAGAAGAUAAUGACGGUAUCUAACGAAUAAGAACCGGCUAACUCCGUGCCAGCAGCCGCGGUAAUACGGAGGGUGAGAGCGGUACUCGGAAUCACUGGGCGUAAAGAGCGUGUAGGCGGGUUAGCAAGUCAGAUGUGAAAUCCUAUGGCUUAACCAUAGAACUGUAUUUGAAACUGUUAUUCUAGAGUAUGGGAGAGGUAGGUGGAAUUCUUGGUGUAGGGGUAAAAUCCGUAGAGAUUAAGAAGAAUACUCAUUGCGAAGGCGACCUACUAGAACAUCACUGACGCUGAUGCGCGAAAGCGUGGGGAGCAAACAGGAUUAGAUACCCCAGUAGUC
rnacentral:rRNA from 1 species